UUCGCCCUUAGAGUUUGAUCCUGGCUCAGGAUGAACGCUAGCUACAGGCUUAACACAUGCAAGUCGAGGGGCAGCGGGAUUGAAGCUUGCUUCAAUUGCCGGCGACCGGCGCACGGGUGAGUAACGCGUAUCCAACCUUCCGUACACUCAGGGAUAGCCUUUCGAAAGAAAGAUUAAUACCUGAUGGUAUGAUGAGAUUGCAUGAUAGCAUCAUUAAAGAUUUAUCGGUGUACGAUGGGGAUGCGUUCCAUUAGGUAGUAGGCGGGGUAACGGCCCACCUAGCCGACGAUGGAUAGGGGUUCUGAGAGGAAGGUCCCCCACAUUGGAACUGAGACACGGUCCAAACUCCUACGGGAGGCAGCAGUGAGGAAUAUUGGUCAAUGGACGAGAGUCUGAACCAGCCAAGUAGCGUGAAGGAUGAAGGUCCUACGGAUUGUAAACUUCUUUUAUAAGGGAAUAAACCCUUCCACGUGUGGGAGCUUGUAUGUACCUUAUGAAUAAGCAUCGGCUAACUCCGUGCCAGCAGCCGCGGUAAUACGGAGGAUGCGAGCGUUAUCCGGAUUUAUUGGGUUUAAAGGGAGCGCAGACGGGUCGUUAAGUCAGCUGUGAAAGUUUGGGGCUCAACCUUAAAAUUGCAGUUGAUACUGGCGUCCUUGAGUGCGGUUGAGGUGUGCGGAAUUCGUGGUGUAGCGGUGAAAUGCUUAGAUAUCACGAAGAACUCCGAUUGCGAAGGCAGCACACUAAGCCGUAACUGACGUUCAUGCUCGAAAGUGUGGGUAUCAAACAGGAUUAGAUACCCUGGUAGUCCACACGGUAAACGAUGGAUACUCGCUGUUGGCGAUAUACUGUCAGCGGCUUAGCGAAAGCGUUAAGUAUCCCACCUGGGGAGUACGCCGGCAACGGU
rnacentral:rRNA from 1 species